GCGCCGGUCGGUGGGUGUUGGGCGUCAAUAAAGGUAAUCUGGUUGUCGCGCUUUCUGCAUCUCUGCACGAGCUAAAGAAGUCUCAAAGAUGAAUGCCGCUGUUGUUAUCACUGUGACGGAAGAGCGGUGCUGAAAAAUACGGCCUCCAUCGAGAGACUGAACGUAACACGACUGCAGCUGACUCUGCCACGAGGCUCGACAACUACUUGCAUCAACUGUGAUCGCUGUGGCCGCCAAAACAUCCAAAUGUAAGGCGGGCUACAAAGAUUUCAGGCCAAAAGAGAACGCCUCACAUGUGAUGAAGUGUCUGUAUUGGUUGGAAAAAGCAGCAGCCCUCCAGUGCUUCAGCCGUCCAACCAUCAACCGUUUCAGACAUCCAUCCUCCCACCACUUCAGCCCCACAGCCGUCCACCAGUGUCCCAACUCCUGACAUUUUACUAUCCUGGGGGGGGUCAUGGCCUCUACGCUGGAUUCCAAAAAAGAGAC